UACGUAGGCAGCAAGCGUUGUUCGGAGUUACUGGGCGUAAAGGGUGUGUAGGCGGUUAUUUAAGUUUGGUGUGAAAUCUCCCGGCUCAACUGGGAGGGUGCGCCGAAUACUGAGCGACUAGAGUGCGGGAGAGGAAAGUGGAAUCCUGGUGUAGCGGUGAAAUGCGUAGAUAUCAGGAGGAACACCGGUGGUGUAGACGGCUUUCUGGACCGAACUGACGCUGAGACACGAAAGCGUGGGUAGCAAACAGG
rnacentral:rRNA from 1 species